AGAGGGAUUUUUUGUCGGAAAACAAAAAAAAAUGAAUUAGCAUAAAUUACAGACGGAAAAGAGAAUCCAUCGAUAAUUCCGUCGGAAAAAUUAAGUUUUUUUCCGUGGGAAAUGGUUACAGACAAAAAAUCCGUCUAUAAUUAAAUAGACAAAAUGCUGCGUUUUAUUAAAUUAUUACAGACAAAAAAUCCAUCUGUAAUUUAAAUUUUCUGUCGGAAAUAUUGAGGUAACCCUAAUUUUAUCACCACCUAUUCACACUCCAUUCGAACGUUGCUGUAGAAGGUGCUGUCGAACUCUUCGCCCUCAUCCCUCGAACUCUUCUCCUCCGGUAGAAGGUGCUGUCGCCGCCGGCGGGGACAGACCGUGGGUGCCUUCGUCAUCUGGAGAAACUCUACUCGGCCCUCUUCGCAUCGUUCCUCCUCUCCUCGCCAUCGCACGAAGUUCUGAGUUUAGCUCGUGGCAUCGUCGUCGCGAAGGGUUCCUCCCCUCCUCGCCUUCAUGAAUUGCUUCCCGUGGCACUGCCCUUGCUGAUUCAGAGUUUGUUGAGAGUUAUGGUGAAAGUGCUACAGGAGCCGAAGUUCACAGGACUCUGCGGUUAGUCCUUCAACAUCAGGACAAUAUAGUACAACUCUUUCAAGAUUGAAGCAAAAACUGAGUGGUUUUUGGUUGCAUGUGGUUCAGCGAUGGCCUGUGGUGAUCUUUUUGCUCGAUAGGCUCAUUGAGGUGAUAAAUUUUCCAGAAAUAACUUCUCUACAUGCAUUCCAUUUUCCCCCAUUUUUUACAGGCCUUUAUUAUCAUAUAUCUAAGCGUGCUGCAGGCAUUCGUUAUCUCUUCAUUGGAAAACCAUCAAAUCAAGGACCCAGGUAUUAGCAUUUUAAAAUUCCAAAUUUUGUAAAAAUGUGUUGGCAAUGGAGGAUUUGCUCUCAAAAUUCUCCAUAAUAUCUUUUUCUACUAUUUUAGCUUUUUAUUUAGACUUUUUUUUUUUUUGGAUUGAUGGAAAGUGAUGCAAUGGUAUUAUAUUAGAUGAAGUCCAUUCCAUCCUUGGUGUGAAUAAGAGAAUCAAUCAGAGAAACAUAGUUGCAAAUGUUAUUGGGAGAAGCUGUUGAAGUAUGUUAUUUGGUCCAAUGGUCCUGAAACCGAAAAUCCCAGUGUUUCCAACAAGCAAUGUGCUGGGAAGGAUUUUGUUGUGCUUGUUUCAAGGCUUCUUGUUGUUGAACUCUUCCUUCGUUAUGAUUCCUUUGAGAUUCAAGUUGGAACUUCACCCUUGGACUCUAAGAUUACCCUUACUUCUCUUAAGAGAGCCAGCUUCUAAACCUUUUAAUAAUUCAAUUUUUAAUUCUUGUAUUUAUUAGGAUCUUUAUUUUUUAUUUUCAUUUUGGUGUUAAUCCUAUAUAUAUUUUUAUGGUAUAUCAAUGGCUAAUUAAA